rnacentral:tRNA from 1 species
AGGGGUGUAGCUCCAUGUUAGAGCACUUGCCUAGCACGCAUGAGGUGCUGGGUUCAAUCUCCAGUACUGCAA